UACGGGGGGGGCAAGCGUUGUUCGGAAUUACUGGGCGUAAAGGGUUUGUAGGUGGCCUGCUAAGUCAGACGUGAAAUCCCUCAGCUUAACUGGGGAACUGCGUCUGAGACUGGUAGGCUCGAGGACAGGAGAGGAACGCGGAAUUCCAGGUGUAGCGGUGAAAUGCGUAGAUAUCUGGAGGAACACCGGUGGCGAAGGCGGCGUUCUGGACUGGUUCUGACACUGAAAAACGAAAGCCAGGGGAGCAAACGGG
rnacentral:rRNA from 1 species